GGGGUCAUCCUAUCCAGCAGGACAGACAGGAGACCCAGUUUACCUAAUGACAUGGUUGUGGUCACCCCCUGAAGCACGUUCAGAGCCGGAGCAGAGGUUAGACAGUGUCUAGGACAAGGAUCGCUGCUCUCCUCUGCUCAGCUUGCAGACACGUGGUGACUGAGCUGCAUAAAGGCUCAUGCUGUCUAUAUUUUAUUUUGUGGGUAGUGCGGGCUGUUGGUUUUAUUAUUUUCUCUUUAUGCGAGGCUGACAGGGAGCGUAGAGCUGGUUGCUGGGCAGUGGGGAUUGCAGUUGGUAAUAAAGGUCUGUUUUCUCACUUCCUCUAUUUUUGUCUCUGGGCAGGAUGAGGCACAUCAGGGGAAAAUCUGACUUGAAACAGAAGCUCAAUUUUUAAGUUGGAGUUAGACAGUCCUGCUGAGAGAGGGAAAUUCUCUGUAUCCUGUGAGCACAGAGAUGUUUCUGUGCGUGAGACCCUGCUGGUGGUCUGUUAUUUGCAGGAGGAUUUUUUGCUUGCAAGGAGAAUUUUGCAACCACCAAGUGCAAACUUUUCUGGAAGAGCUCUGGUUUUCAUACAAAUCUCUGAAUCUCUCCAGAUGGCCUUCCGGAGACACGCUGGGUGAGUGGAAAAUGUAAUGAAAUUCCCAGAGCCUUCUGGUGCACUACCAAGGUAUUCCUGCCAGCUUUCCAGCCCGAGAUGUUGGUGCAGCUGUAGCAGCCCGGGCCACAGAUAGAGGUGAUUACAGAUUAACCCCCACCAGAGCAGGAUUACUGAGGGAGAGGUUUUCUUCACCUGGGCAGUAGCCCACAGGAGAGCCACACUUACCUGUGGGGUGAAAUGAGCUGAACCAAGAGCUCACAGUAGAUCAAGCUCUUUCCAAACUGCCUUUUUUAAAAAAAAGCUCACUCGUUUGUUCUGCUUCACAAACUGAGCAGUACAAGCAACAGUAAAAAUGUGAUGCAUCCCAAAUUCUCGCUGUGAGGAUGGGUUUCGUGACCAGUCUGCACAAGGCCUUUAGAUCCAAACCAUCUGUGGGGCUCAGAGUAUGCAAACUAUUCAUGUUGUCUUAAAGAUUUAGCAGGGAGCAAGGCCUCAGUGUGCCAGAAUCUGUAGGAAAACAGAGACCUGCACCACUUAUGGUCCUGGGGGUCUUGUUUGAAGCUUCUAUUGAAUAGAUUGAUCAUUGUCCUGCAGCAUUUAGUGGUGGAAAAAGAAGCAGGGAGGGGGUUUAACAAGUGUCUCAUAUGGUUUGUGUUGUCUCUGCUGUGCUGAACCUUUCUUUCUGCUCACACAGCAGGGUUUUGCUUUGCCUCUGUUUCCUUUGUGCAGAUGGCAGCAAUAGGUUUCGUUUCCCCCCCAGCCGUCAAAUUAACAGCCUUGGCAAGCUUUCCUUUGCUGGCUAGUUUUGGGUGGUGCUGGAGGAUUGCUCCACUCAGUACAUUUCCAAGUCUGGCUUUUUAAGCCAAGCUCUGUAAAAAUAAACUUUUUUUUUUGUUGUUUAUUUGUUUGAGA
rnacentral:lncRNA from 1 species